UUAGGUUUAGGGGUCAAGGUAAGGGUUAGCGGUUAGGUUUAGGGGUCAAGGUAAGGGUUAGCGGUUAGGUUUAGGGGUCAAGGUAAGGGUUAGCGGUUAGGUUUAGGGGUCAAGGUAAGGGUUAGCGGUUAGGUUUAGGGGUCAAGGUAAGGGUUAGUGGUUAGGUUUAGGGGUCAAGGUAAGGGUUAGCGGUUAGGUUUAGGGGUCAAGGUAAGGGUUAGCGGUUAGGUUUAGGGGUCAAGGUAAGGGUUAGUGGUUAGGUUUAGGGGUCAAGGUAAGGGUUAGUGGUUAGGUUUAGGGGUCAAGGUAAGGGUUAGUGGUUAGGUUUAGGGGUCAAGGUAAGGGUUAGCGGUUAGGUUUAGGGGUCAAGGUAAGGGUUAG